rnacentral:rRNA from 1 species
GACGAACGCUGGCGGCGUGCCUAAUACAUGCAAGUUGAGCGAUGAAGAUUGGUGCUUGCACCAAUUUGAAGAGCAGCGAACGGGUGAGUAACGCGUGGGGAAUCUGCCUUUGAGCGGGGGACAACAUUUGGAAACGAAUGCUAAUACCGCAUAACAACUUUAAACAUAAGUUUUAAGUUUGAAAGAUGCAAUUGCAUCACUCAAAGAUGAUCCCGCGUUGUAUUAGCUAGUUGGCGAGGUAAAGGCUCACCAAGGCGAUGAUACAUAGCCGACCUGAGAGGGUGAUCGGCCACAUUGGGAAGGAGACACGGCCCAAACUCCUACGGGAGGCAGCAGUAGGGAAUCUUCGGCAAUGGACGAAAGUCUGACCGAGCAACGCCGCGUGAGUGAAGAAGGUUUUCGGAUCGUAAAACUCUGUUGGUAGAGAAGAACGUUGGUGAGAGUGGAAAGCUCAUCAAGUGACGGUAACUACCCAGAAAGGGACGGCUAACUACGUG